AGAGUUUGAUCCUGGCUCAGGACGAACGCCGGCGGCGUGCCUAACACAUGCAAGUCGAACGGGACCGGGGGCAACUCCGGUUCAGUGGCGGACGGGUGCGUAACACGUGAGGAACAUGACCUUCGGCGGGGGAUAGCCGGCCCAACGGCCGGGGUAAUACCGCGUACGACCUUUCGGGGACAUCCCUGGAUGGUGAAAGCAGCAAUGCGCCGAUGGAGUGCCUCGCGGCCUAUCAGCUAGUUGGUGGGGUAACGGCCUACCAAGGCAACGACGGGUAGCUGGUCUGAGAGGAUGGCCAGCCACAUUGGGACUGAGACACGGCCCAGACUCCUACGGGAGGCAGCAGUGGGGAAUAUUGCGCAAUGGACGAAAGUCUGACGCAGCGACGCCGCGUGUGGGAUGACGGUCUUCGGACUGUAAACCACUGUCGGGAGGGACGAAUACGCCGCAAGGCGGGUGACGGUACCUCCAAAGGAAGCACCGGCUAACUCCGUGCCAGCAGCCGCGGUAAUACGGAGGGUGCGAGCGUUGUCCGGAAUCACUGGGCGUAAAGGGCGCGUAGGCGGCCUGAUAAGUAGGGGGUGAAAUCCUGCGGCUUAACCGCAGGGCUGCCUUCUAAACUGUCAGGCUCGAGCACAGUAGAGGCAGGUGGAAUUCCCGGUGUAGCGGUGGAAUGCGUAGAGAUCGGGAAGAACAUCAGUGGCGAAGGCGGCCUGCUGGGCUGUUGCUGACGCUGAGGCGCGACAGCGUGGGGAGCAAACAGGAUUAGAUACCCCAGUAGUCC
rnacentral:rRNA from 1 species